UGUAAGCGUUUACCAAAGUUGUUGCAGUUAAAACGCUCGUAGUCGGAAUUUGGCAGUUCCGGAUGUGUGCACGUCGUGUGCGCACUUCGCGGGGAUUGCUUUUGUGGUCUUGCGUAGGAUGAGGCACUUUUAUUAGUGAACGUCCUCACGCAACCACUUUUUACUGUGAGAAAAUCAGAGUGCUCAAAGCAGGCAUUUGCCGUGAAUGUAUUAGCAUGGAAUAAUAGAAUAGGACUUGGUUCUAUUUUGUUGGUUUGUUGGGACUGAGUAAUGAUUAAGAGGGACAGUUGGGGGCAUUUGUAUUUCGGUGCUAGAGGUGAAAUUCUUAGAUUACCGAAAGACAAACUGCUGCGAAAGCGUCUGCCAAGGAUGUUUUCAUUGA
rnacentral:rRNA from 1 species